rnacentral:rRNA from 1 species
UACGAAGGGGGCUAGCGUUGUUCGGAAUUACUGGGCGUAAAGCGCACGCAGGCGGUUUGUUAAGUCAGGGGUGAAAUGCCAAGGCUCAACCUUGGAACUGCCUUUGAUACUGGCAAUCUCGAGUCCGGGAGAGGUGAGUGGAACUGCGAGUGUAGAGGUGAAAUUCGUAGAUAUUCGCAGGAACACCAGUGGCGAAGGCGGCUCACUGGCCCGGUACUGACGCUGAGGUGCGAAAGCGUGGGGAGCAAACAGG